rnacentral:rRNA from 1 species
GACGAACGCUGGCGGCGUGCUUAACACAUGCAAGUCGAACGGAAAGGCCCUGCUUUUGUGGGGUGCUCGAGUGGCGAACGGGUGAGUAACACGUGAGUAACCUGCCCUUGGCUUUGGGGUAACUUAAGGGAACUGGGGCUAAUACCGGAUAGGAGCUCCUGCUGCAUGGUGGGGGUUGGAAAGUUUCGGCGGUUGGGGAUGGACUCGCGGCGUAUCAGCUUGUUGGUGGGGUAGUGGCUUACCAAGGCUUUGACGGGUAGCCGGCCUGAGAGGGUGACCGGCCACAUUGGGACUGAGAUACGGCCCAGACUCCUACGGGAGGCAGCAGUGGGGAAUAUUGCACAAUGGGCGGAAGCCUGAUGCAGCAACGCCGCGUGCGGGAUGACGGCCUUCGGGUUGUAAACCGCUUUCGCCUGUGACGAAGCGUGAGUGACGGUAAUGAGUAAAGAAGCACCGGCUAACUACGUG